GCGGAUGGCCGGAUGACCGCGGGGGGCUUGCCCCCUCGAGGAAAGUCCGGACUCCAUGAGGCAAGGGCGCCGGAUAACGUCCGGCCGGGGCAACCCGAGGGAAAGCGCCACAGAGAAGAGUCUGCCCCGCAUGUCGGGGUGAUGGUGAAACGGUGGGGUAAGAGCCCACCGCGGUCCUGGCAACAGGAACGGCAAGGCAAGCCCCGCCCGGAGCAAUGCCGAAUAGGGACCUCGCGCCCCGUAAGGUCUGCCUCGGCAGAGACCACGGUGCAGGGACGCCUCAGCCCAGAGGUCCGGGUUGGCAGCUAGAUCCCGCCGGCAACGGCGGGACCAGAUGAAUGGUCAUCGAAGGGGUUUCGGCCCCGGAACAGAAUCCGGCUUACAGGCCAUCCGCGUCA
rnacentral:RNase_P_RNA from 1 species